CACUCCUGCGGGAGGCAGCAGUGGGGAAUAUUGCACAAUGGGCGCAAGCCUGAUGCAGCGACGCCGCGUGGGGGAUGAAGGCCUUCGGGUUGUAAACUCCUUUCGCUAGGGACGAAGCUUUUUUGUGACGGUACCUAGAUAAGAAGCACCGGCUAACUACGUGCCAGCAGCCGCGGUAAUACGUAGGGUGCGAGCGUUGUCCGGAAUUACUGGGCGUAAAGGGCUCGUAGGUGGUUUGUCGCGUCGUCUGUGAAAUUCUGGGGCUUAACUCCGGGCGUGCAGGCGAUACGGGCAUAACUUGAGUGCUGUAGGGGUAACUGGAAUUCCUGGUGUAGCGGUGAAAUGCGCAGAUAUCAGGAGGAACACCGAUGGCGAAGGCAGGUUACUGGGCAGUUACUGACGCUGAGGAGCGAAAGCAUGGGUAGCGAACAGGAUUAGAUACCCCGGUAGUCCC
rnacentral:rRNA from 1 species